GGAGGGUGCGAGCGUUGUUCGGAAUCACUGGGCGUAAAGCGCGUGUAGGCGGCCCAUUAAGUCUGAUGUGAAAGCCCGGGGCUCACCCCCGGAAGUGCAUUGGAAACUGAUGGGCUGGAGUCCCGGAGAGGAGGGUGGAAUUCCUGGUGUAGCGGUGAAAUGCGUAGAUAUCAGGAGGAACACCGGUGGCGAAGGCGGCCCUCUGGACGGUGACUGACGCUGAGACGCGAAAGCGUGGGGAGCAAACAGGAUUAGAUACCCUGGUAGUCCACGCCGUAAACGAUGAGCACUAGGUGUCGCGGGUAUUGACCCCUGCGGUGCCGACGCUAACGCAUUAAGUGCUCCGCCUGGGGACUACGGCCGCAAGGUUAAA
rnacentral:rRNA from 1 species